UGUUGGCAGGAGGGUGCUGCUGCAGGGAAGUGCUGCUGCAGGAGGGUGCUGCUGCAGAGGGUUUUGCUAUGCUCUUAGCAUGUCAAAGGAGCAGCAAAGAUGCCAAUGUGUACAGAGGAGGCUGAGUGGUAGGAAAUGGGGUCAGGUAGGUACUAGGGCAGGAUGCUGCAGUCCUUUAGGCCACGCAAAUGUGAAUUCUUUUGUGGGUGAGGCACAAGGCAGGACGGCAUAGAGUGCACUCCAGAGCUAAUCUGUGGAGGUCUUAUCCUGACUCUUCCACAUGGGAGCUGUAAGACCUCAGGAUAGUCAUAUGCCCUCUCUGAUAGGUGGAUGUAUAAUAGCUGUAGGAUGUAGAUCAUGCCACAGCUGGCCUCACAGGAGUGUUGUGAAGACUGACAAUCUGUAAAGCACUAACAUCCUUCGGCACAUAAUAAGUGCGGUAUAAAUAAGUAUUUAACUUUUAUUGUGUGGAAAGCCCCUGGCAAGGUUAAGCUGAAGAGUGCCAGUGACUUAGAUUACUCCUGUGAAGGCUCUCUGUAUGCUCACUGGGGAGAACAGACUGGAAGGAGGCAAGAGGAGAGGUCAGUGAGGAGGCCAGAGAUCAGUGGUGGAGGCCAGAGUGGCAGUGGCUUCGAUGUGGCAGGGAUGGUCAUGAUGGGGCUUCUGGAUGAAUUCCGAAAGCAGAUUUGCCAUGAUUUGCUAAUGGACUGGAUAAAGGGUAUAAGUGAAGGGGAGGAGUAAGCUUGUCUUUCAGAACUGAGCUUGAGUAACUGAGCAAAUGGUGGUGCCAAUUUAUCGAUAUGGGGAGAACGGAGGGAGGAGGAUUUUGCUUGAUUGGUUGGUUUGUUUUGUUUUCUUUUUUUUUUUUUUUUUGUUUCGGUCUGGAGAAGGAUUAAGACAUAUUAAGAGAGGAAAGUUCAAGUUAAAUGAGAAGCUCUCAAAAGUUCAAUUCUGACAAUAUAGUUACAAAGGAUUCCAAAAUGGGAGAAAAGAGGACGGCAUCUGAAGAUGCUUAUGUAGUUAUAGGGUUUGUUAUUUAAUGAGCUCAGAUUAUUCCUUUAAGGCAAAAAGAGAUAAAGUGGCAUGAAACUGUACCCACACAUUGUACCAAUAUCAAUUUCCUGGGUUUGCUAUUGUACUAUAGCUAAGUAAGAUGUUAG
rnacentral:lncRNA from 1 species